rnacentral:rRNA from 1 species
UACGUAGGGUGCGAGCGUUAAUCGGAAUUACUGGGCGUAAAGCGUGCGCAGGCGGUUCGUUGUGUCGGCGGUGAAAGCCCCGGGCUUAACCUGGGAAUGGCCGUUGAAACUGGCGAACUGGAGUGUGGCAGAGGGGGGUGGAAUUCCGCGUGUAGCAGUGAAAUGCGUAGAGAUCCGGAGGAACACCAAAGGCGAAGGCAGUGUCCUGGGGAGUACCUGACGCUCAGGUGCGAAAGCCAGGGGAGCGAACGGG